AGUUCGGUAUCGCUAUGGAGCUCCUGGGGGAGCCCCGGACCACCAGGUCGCCUAAGGAGGGGUGCACCGACCCAGGUCGGAGACGGAGCAGGUCAAAGCCCCCGUGCCGCUCAG
ensembl:misc_RNA Metazoa_SRP Metazoan signal recognition particle RNA